CAGAGGAGUUCCCCCAGAGAGAGCCAGGCCUUGCCCCUCAUCCCCAACCCAGUGGUGUGUCUGGAAGCAGGGGACACGAUCCUUUUCCAGCUCAGCAUCAAUUCCCAGGAGCGUGCCUCCAGCCAUUACCCCGUGUACCAGAAGCAGCAUCUCUACAACAACAACCCCGGCUGGGAUUUCGGAGCCUUCCGCAGGCUGGACCACCUGAUCCAGGAGACCCAGCUCAACAUCUCCUGGUUUGCCCAUGUGUUCCUGGAGCCUGGCACAUUUGUGUUCAGGGACAGCUCCGCUCAGGAGCGCUUCCUGAUUGUGACAGUGGAGGAGGCCAACGUGAGCUGUGAGCCCAGGGACGGCUCCUUCCAGCCCUCCUCCCUGUUCCAGCUGGCCAGACACGGCGUUUGGAAGCAGCAGGAUCUGAACCUGGCUCCCAACUGGGCUGCGAUCACAG
rnacentral:lncRNA from 1 species